GUAACCAACAGAGUUCACACUUUUAAUGUUAUUAAGACGAUUAUGAACAUGUAGGGUGGCGAAGGACAUAUUUGUGUUUUUUUCGCUAUCGCUGUAUUUCCACCUUUAAUUGUUUAAUUUAAAUUAGGUUUUGCCCACCGUUUUCCUUACGUAAUGCGACCAUAAUUUUUUCGCGCAGCAUAUAGCGCCGCGGUGGGAAGAGGGACACUUCGAAAUUUCUGGAAGUUUAUGUGGUACGUUAAAUGUUGUGACUGUAAGUGUGAGAGUUGAUAUGUAGAAAGACCUACGUGCGGUGAGGGAUUGGCAUAAUUGUAGUAUCUGUGGUAUGCUAGAGGCAUUCAUGAUUCUCUAGUGAAUAUAUUGAUCAUAGGAUAUCAAAAUUUGAGGUUAGGUAUCAUUUGUAGACGAGGGUGGUGACUAUUUGUGAUAACGUUUUGUUAGUGAGAGGUUUUGUAACACGUGUGAUGUGUGUGGUGCUGUGGAGCCUUUAAUGUGAUCUGUUUACUAAUUAAUAAUUCAGUAAUUUUUCACUUUAAUCCCAGAAUUGUACCUAUCUUCAGCCAAGAUUGUUUCCUUCCACAUAAGAGAAUUCGGUGACCGUGAAAUAAUGUUUUGCUCAGACAGGAUGAUGACUGCAUGCAGCGGCUUGUUACCGUUUAGAUUCAGCUGUAACAAGUAAUGCCCAGGUAAAUGUUAGGUGGCGGGAAUAUGUUGUUUGGCAAUUCUUAGUAAUAUAGGUUCAUUGGUUCUCAAUAGUUUAGAUCAGACAAGUCUGCAGGCAUUUGUGCUGCGACCAUUGUUGAUAGGGUGCCAGCUUUUAAAGCUGCAGCAUAGCAAGAUGUGCAGAUUUCAGGCAUUGAAUGCGUGAUAAGUCACUGCACUGUUACAGUUGUUUUAAUGGUCUCUAGGUUGUUUGUAUGUGAACUUACUCAGUGCAGUGCAGUGUUAGAUAUAAUAUUUUUUAUGCAUUCUGAUAGAAAGGCGUUGACAUGCUGAGUUACUCUCAGAUUCUGAACGUGGACUUUGCUCGUGGCUUUAGAUGGUGUUAGCUGCAAUUACUUUGCACAUUAAAUUUUGUCAGUAAAUUUAAUCUCAUUGAAUGCGAUCUUCAGUGUUCUGGAAACAUAAUGGCUUGCCGACCGCAAAUGUCAGGACAACAAAAGUUUUCAAACCGAACAUAAUAGACUUACAAAAAUUUGUUUCCAAAGCUUUUUAAAGUCCCAUACUUCAUUUCAGUUUUUGAUGCUGCUUUCAGAUAGCAGAAUGUUAAACUCGUGUCCAUUUUGAGAAUAAUUACAUGUUUUAUUGUAAAUUAAUAAAUUGCAUCACCAGUGUGAAAAUGUCCCAGUUACUUUUAAAAUAAUUUGUGUUGCUGAAGCAAAUACCUGCACCGUUACUGCCUGGAUGAGGAAUUAAUAUUUAAAAAUAUCUGUUCAAAUAAAAGGAAAUGUCGUGAAAAGUGAUGUUUGUCUACCAAUUAAAUAAUCUUGCCCAAAUUGCUGACAUGGAGUCACUGAGUUUACAACAUAAAAAUACUUGAACGAAAAUACAUUAUGACAUUAUGUAUCUGUCAUCAAAUAUCCGAUGAGAUAGGUAAACAUUUAUUCACAUAUGAGGUCGACAGUACAUCAGCACAAGACCUUUUUUCAUUGUUUGUUGAGGCUCGCUACAUGCUUCAACCUUAAAUUUUAAUCUUCAGGAGUUUUUCAUUAAGUGCUGGAAUGUAGUAUUCAUGAGGAACUAGAUUCUUGGUACUUUUCCCUAAGAAAACAUCCACUCGACUAUUUCACCUAGUGUAGCUUGUGGCAGUCUCAGGGUGAUGAUCUUCAUGUUCAAAAUGAAGUGUCUUUACAUUUAUCUUGUGGAGCAGAGGUAAGUAUGUACAGUUGAUGAAAAACCUGUCUUUCCUAACAACUUAUUGGCCGUGUGCCAUCCUGAAUUCCACAUUUUUAUGUGUACAGUUUUAAAUGGGUGAUUAAAUAACUUUGUGCAUAAAAUUAAUUUUUAAAUUGUUUAACAUCUGAAAGUUUAUUGCAGUGAUGUUGCUCCAUUUGAAUUUCAGGACUUGGACAAUAACGCAGAUGGAAUAGUUGCCAACUUGGAUUUGAAUUUGAAAUAGUUCACUCUGCAAUUGUUCUUCACUAAACCAUCAGUUUUAUUAAAAGGACUUGGGUAUUUUUACCAUGUUGAGUGAAGCGGGAUAUGUCAUGUCUGAGUAUGAGGCCUCAUCCUUUAUUCCAUAUCUGAUUCUGAAGAUUGGAGAUCGUACGGAUACUGUCCGAGAACUGCUCAGCCUUAUCAAACUGGUGUAUCCACCUGCAAAUCUUUUUGCAAUUCUGAUGAAGUGUCUGAAGGCCAUAAAUGCAAAAGCGCGCGCUGGUGAGUAAUAUUUUAAGUAAAGGGUCAUAAUUUGUGCCCAAGUCGUAAAAGUUACCUAAACUAGAAAACCGAAAAUGUUCUGAAGUUUUCUUAAAAUAUAUGCACUUAAGCAUUUUCCUUU